rnacentral:sRNA from 1 species
CAACACUAGUGAUUGAAGGGGAAAAUUACCGCAAAACUUCUUCCAAACAACCACUUCUCUUUCAACCAAAAACAGAGAGAUCGUAGCGCACUUCUUGAAGUCCAACGAGAGUUCUAAACGUGGU